CCUACGGGUGGCAGCAGUGGGGAAUAUUGGGCAAUGGGCGAAAGCCUGACCCAGCAACGCCGCGUGAAGGAAGAAGGCUUUCGGGUUGUAAACUUCCUUUGACAGGGAAGAGCAGAAGACGGUACCUGUCGAAUCAGCCACGGCUAACUACGUGCCAGCAGCCGCGGUAAUUCGUAGGUGGCAAGCGUUGUCCGGAUUUACUGGGGUUAAAGGGCGUGUAGCCGGGCUGAGAAUUCAGAUGCGAAAUCCGGGGGCUCAACCCCCGAUCUGCAUUUGAAACUGGUGGUCUUGAGUAUCGGAGAGGCAGGCGGAAUGCGUGGUGUAGCGGUGAAAUGCGUAGAUAUUAGGAGGAACACCAGUGGCGAAGGCAGCCUGCUGGACGACAACUGACGGUGAGGCGCGAAAGCGUGGGGAGCAAACAGGAUUAGAUACCCUAGUAGUC
rnacentral:rRNA from 1 species